UACUAACUGUAUUUAGUCCACCCCGUGGCUAAGUGGUUAGGCACGCAUAACCUAAGGAUAAAUGAACUAUUAAUAUGGAGAUAUGUAAACUAUAUUUUGUCCACCGCUAUGGCUCAGAUGUUAGAGAGCCAUCAUAACCUUAGGGUAUCGGGUUUGAUGCUCGAUGCUGAUGAGCAUGCGUGUCCUUGUGUAAGACAUUAAACAGAGAUUGCUCCAACCCAGUGGUCACUAAUGGGUUGUAGCACCCUGGGUGUCCCGGUAAUGGGCUAAAUCACAAGACACACAACGUGCUUCGCUUGAGUUUUGAUCCUGACCGUUAUGUCCAACCUUUGCUUGUUUGGGCGCGUAAACGUUACCGCGCCUGUUGUGACGUCACCAAUGGUUUUGGCGCGAGUCACUACGGCGUCUGUGAUGACGUCAUUGAUUACGCGCAAGGCAUAUCUUUCGCGCGUUUUUUUAUCUUUGUUUUACAAUCAUUAUUCUCUGUUUGCAGUCGUAGUUUAAAAUCAUUUUCGUUAUGUUAGUUCACUGGCUAGGAUUAAUUGUUACUCUCGCAUUUGAGCGUUACUCUGUUUAAGUGGAUAUUAAUUACACCUGACAUAAGCUUCCACUUUCAAUAAAAGAUUCUUCAUAAGAUGGGACGCUUCUGAACGAGCCGAGGCCAUAAUCUGUGAUCUUCAGUACAAACCUCGAGUCCACGACACAGUUUGUGGACUUGAGGUUGCCAUGGGAAUGGAUGGAACUUCCGUGCAAGAAACUCAUGCCUAUGGAAGACCGAGGGUUAUGGGAUCAGGUACUGGUCAAGAUCAUUCAUCAGCGAAACUCGAAACAUCCAAUCAAGUUGUAUUUCUUCAUUCAACAGAAUAUCUCUCAAACUACCUUUCCUGCAAUACUCCGUAAGUACGCAUAUAUGCGGCCAUUCUACGCAAGCGCCUUCAAAUCUUGUGAGGUGAUCAUGAGUGAUGUCUCGCAUCUGAUGAACUCUUCUUGUCAAUUCAACUUUCCUUCUGUUUGUUAACUUUACCACAACUGUUUUAUCCUGUGACGUAACAAUACCAGCAUUCAUGACAAGACAAUAUGACAGCCACUGUUGCUAUGGAAACAAUCAAUAUAACGAUCGCUUCAAUCAAUGUCAACCCUGUGACGUAAUAAAGACGAAGUAUUGGUCGUAAUAUUCCCAAAUGUAUCUCGUAAGCGGGUACGAGGUGUACGAAACAGAACACAAAAUCAAAACGACUGUGGUUGCCUAGCCACGCGAGUAUAAGUUAAAGGUCCGAUUGAUCUGUUUCAAAGCUACGAUACCCAGACACGUAACAAUUUAACGAUCAUCAUACAGGUAUGGCAAGUAUUAUUUUUGACUAUUCUUUUAAAUUGCUAUAGUUACGUAACAGUAGUGUGCGUCAGCGAUUUUUAAACCAUUAUUACGCAAUUGACAAACAAGAUGUCAUCCACAUUUUGGAGCCGGAAAAUUUUCAGAGUAAUUUUGGAGCUAUUUUAGGCGUCACCGAUAGCUUCACGACCUACUUUUAAACUUAGUAAAAACUUCAAUUCCGAUAAUCCGGC